UACGUAGGGCGCAAGCGUUGUCCGGAAUUAUUGGGCGUAAAGAGCUCGUAGGCGGCUUGUCACGUCGGUUGUGAAAGCCCGGGGCUCAACCCUGGGAUGCCGAUCGAUACUGCCGGACUAGAGUCCGGAAGAGGCGAGUGGAAUUCCCGGUGUAGCGGUGAAAUGCGCAGAUAUCGGGAGGAACACCAGUGGCGAAGGCGGCUUCCUGGACUAAUACUGACGCUGAGGUGCGAAAGCGUGGGGAGCAAACAGG
rnacentral:rRNA from 1 species